GACUACUGGGGUAUCUAAUCCUGUUUGAUCCCCACACCUUCGUGCCUCAGCGUCAGUUGUAGCCUGGUAAGCUGCCUACGCAAUUGGAGUUCUUCGUAAUAUCUAAGCAUUUCACCGCUACACUACGAAUUCCGCCUACCUCAUCUACACUCAAGACCGACAGUUUCAACGGCAAUUCCAUGGUUGAGCCAUGGACUUUCACCGCUGACUUGACAGUCCGCCUACGCACCCUUUAAACCCAAUAAAUCCGGAUAACGCUUGGAUCCUCCGUAUUACCGCGGCUGCUGGCACGGAGUUAGCCGAUCCUUAUUCUUCGGGUACAUACAAAACACCACACGUGGUGCACUUUAUUCCCCGAUAAAAGAAGUUUACAAUACAUAAUACCUUCAUCCUUCACGCGAUUUGGCUGGUUCAGGCUUUCGCCCAUUGACCAAUAUUCCUCACUGCAGCCCCCCGUAGG
rnacentral:rRNA from 1 species